rnacentral:rRNA from 1 species
ACUCCUACGGGAGGCAGCAGUAGGGAAUCUUCCACAAUGGGCGCAAGCCUGAUGGAGCAACACCGCGUGAGUGAAGAAGGAUUUCGGCUCGUAAAGCUCUGUUGUUAAAGAAGAACACGUAUGAGAGUAACUGUUCAUACGUUGACGGUAUUUAACCAGAAAGUCACGGCUAACUACGUGCCAGCAGCCGCGGUAAUACGUAGGUGGCAAGCGUUAUCCGGAUUUAUUGGGCGUAAAGAGAGUGCAGGCGGUUUUCUAAGUCUGAUGUGAAAGCCUUCGGCUUAACCGGAGAAGUGCAUCGGAAACUGGAUAACUUGAGUGCAGAAGAGGGUAGUGGAACUCCAUGUGUAGCGGUGGAAUGCGUAGAUAUAUGGAAGAACACCAGUGGCGAAGGCGGCUACCUGGUCUGCAACUGACGCUGAGACUCGAAAGCAUGGGUAGCGAACAGGAUUAGAUACCCUGGUAGGAUAGCG